rnacentral:rRNA from 1 species
AUUGAACGCUGGCGGCAGGCCUAACACAUGCAAGUCGAACGAGUGGCGGACGGGUGAGUAAUGUCUGGGAAACUGCCUGAUGGAGGGGGAAAACUACUGGAAACGGUAGCUAAUACCGCAUACCAUCAGAUGUGCCCAGAUGGGAUGAGCUAGUUGGUGGGGUAACGGCUCACCAAGGCGACGAUCCCUAGCUGGUCUGAGAGGAUGACCAGCACAAAGGGAAUGGGGACACGGUCCAGACUCCUACGUGAGGCAGCAUUGGGGAAUAUUGCACAAUGGGCGCAAGCCUGAUGCAGCCAUGCCGCGUGUAGGAAGAAGGCCUUCGGGUGGUAAAGUACGUUCAGCGGGGAGGCGUUACCCGCAGAAGAAGCACCGGCUAACUCCGUGCCAGCAGCCGCGGUAAUUC